rnacentral:misc_RNA from 1 species
ACAAAAAUAAAUAAAUAAAUAAACUAAUUGCUAAGUUUCUGUCAAAAGUAGGAAUCAACAAAGCAGUAUCAAGCCAGUUUUAUUAUUUUAUUUUAAUAAUACCAAACUGCUUACAGAAUACAUAGUUAACUAAUCAAAGUAUCGACUUUCUUGGUCUGAAUGUCAUUCAUCUUCUUCACUAGAUCUUUGAUCUUCUUCUUGUCAGCACGAAUGUCAGCAAUAAACACAAGUGUGUUGUUGUCCUCAAUCUUCUUCAUGGCAGACUCGGCAGUCAGUGGAUACUUCAGAAUCUGAUACUGGUCCAGCUUGUUUCUUGGUGGUGCUCUGAUGUGCGGAUACUUUGGGUUUCUCUCCUUCUUCAAUGUCUUGGGCCGGUGGAAUGUGACCUCUGCCCUGACCAUUUUAGCUUUCUUCUUAAAUAUUGGUCUUGAUUUCACAGCCUUGGCAGCUUUCAUGGCUUGCUCCUUAGGAUCAGUCUUUUUGGUAGCAUCAGCUGUUAUGGAGGUCCAAAGUGCCAAAUAUCUUGUUUAU